AACUCUGCUCCCCAAAAGGAUUCAUGCCAUCUGUACUCAGACCUAACCAUAAGUUCCUUGCGUCAGCUGCAAAUCUCGGGAACUCUCUCUCGAUUUUUCUCCACUGCCGACCAUCAGCGGUGUGCCUCAACUUAUCGUAUUUCAUACGAUCUUCCAUGUGCCAUCGCAACAACUUCGCAUGAUCUUUAUUUCUGAACAGACGUUUCAACCGUGGUAUUAUAGGAGCAUACCACAUCACCUUGGCAGGAACCCUCUUCCUGGGUGGCUCGCCCUCAA
rnacentral:lncRNA from 1 species